AUGCGCCGCCUCCACCUCGCCGCCGCCGUCCUCGCCGUCUUCCUCCCCCUCGCCGUCUCCGCGGCCGGGGGCAAAGCAGCGGCAGCUAAGGCGCCCGUUGCCCCGCCGGCCCCGCCGAACAUCACGGCGGCCAUGGCGAAGGGCGGGUGCAAGGCGUUCGCGGCCCUGGUGGCGGCCUCGCCGGACGCGCACUCCACGUUCCAGUCGGCCGGGGACGGCGGCGUGACGGCCUUCUGCCCCAGCGACGACGCCGUGAGGUCCUUCAUGCCCAGGUACAAGAACCUCAGCGCCGACGGCAAGGCGUCGCUGCUGCUGUUCCACGCCGUGCCCGUGUACUACGCGCCGCGGAGCCUCAAGUCCAACAACGGCGUCAUGAACACGCUCGCCACCGACGGCUCCGCCAACAACUUCAACUUCACGGUGCAGAACGAGGGCGAGCAGGUGACCAUCAAGACGGACGCCUCCGACCACGCCGCGCGGGUCAAGUCCACCGUCUACGACAAGGACCCCAUCGCCAUCUACGCCGUGGACACGGUGCUCGAGCCGGUGGAGCUCUUCGAGCCGGCGGAGUCCCCGGCGCCGGCGCCGGCUCCCGCCCCUGUCGCCGACGCGCCCAAGGCCCCCAAGAAGCAGGCGCGCCACCGGCCUGUAGCGGACGCGCCCGGACCGGCCGCCGAGGACGCGGCGCCCGCCGACCAGAGGAAGAACUCUAAGAAGAGCGCGGCGUCCGCCGCCCCGUGUCUGCCAUGGGCCGCAGUCCUGCCUGUCGUCGUGGCCGUGGCCGCCGCUCUGGCUUAG
rnacentral:rRNA from 1 species